AAUUGCAUCAAAUCGAUGCAUUUCUUCGCCGGAAGCGCGCCCGUGGAUGAGUGUUAAAAGGCCAGAACCGAAUCCCUGAAUAAUAUGUUAUUUAUAUUUUCACCACAGAUUCAGUUUUGGUAUCAUUAACGUCUUAUUCACUCUAAUACAUAACAUGUAAGUGGAAAUUGAUAGUGGUACAAUACCUUAAAUGUGUAUAAUAUCUUAGAUGCAUUUUAAAGUUCACGUUUCAUAGUGUAACGUACGACUGUGACGUCAAAGUUACGUUUAUGUAUACGUAGCAACCAACUCUGAUGGCGUCGAUCCACAUACGAGGUUCAUUUGCGGUUACGGAAAUAGCCUAGUAGUCACGAUUGCAAAACAUCUAUGUAGUCUGGUCCUCCUUCCCACAAUACGCAAGAUCGUAAAUACCGAGUUAGCGGAACUCUCUUGCAAAGAAGUCCGGAAAAACGUGUCGAUCUUGGGCAUUUUUUGUUUAUUCAAACAUGGCAUCGGAAGACGAUUUAACCUGUGCUUUCCACAAUUAAAAGUAUUUUAAAUGAAAGGUGUGUAAAAACGUCUGGAUACAGGAAAAAUGAACUCCUGAAUUUAGCUCGUGAAGCUAUAUAUUUUGACGCAAGCUUUUAUCAGCUUUGGGAAUUUCCUGGCUGACAGCAGUGGGGAAAAAUCCACCACAUUUCCAUUAAAAUCUAUCAUUUGUGGAUAUUUCUGGGUAUUAUGUUUCUUUCUUGAAUCAUUACUACAGUCUACUGCAAUGCAAUGAUAGUGCACCAUUGUUAAAAUCAGGUGACUCGAUCACGACAAAAGUUGCAGAUGUUAUUUACCAACAUGCCCAAAUUCUCGCAUACUCUGGGUCUCGCGAGACUUUGAAAGGGGGAAGUAAAAUUUAAAACCAAGACGGAAAAAGUAGUCGCAAUCUUGCUGCGCGAACGGAAUUGUGGGAAGGGGAACCAGACUAAACAUCUAUGUUGGAAAAAUUUAUGUCGUUCGAACGAGAUAUUAUAUCAUUCGCACGAAUUAUUAUCUCGUUCGCACGACAUAAUAUCUCGUUCGAACGAUUUAUUAUCUCGUUCGCACGACAUAAUAUCUCGUUCGCACGACAUCAUAUCUCGGUCGCACGACUUAUUAUGUUGUUCGCACGAGAUAGGUUUUUGUAUUUUUUUAUUUUUUUUUACUUUACACUUACUAUAUAAUUAACUGACCAAAGUCUAUGGUAUUCAGAAGUUGACUUCAGUAUUUAAUAUGGAUGAGGGAAAGUUGGAAAUUUUAAUAGCACUCUUUGUGUAAAUGGAAUUAACUAGUUAUUUCUUCGAAAAACAAAAGGACCGUUGCAAAAUAAAAGAAAUGAACUACAUGGACACAUUAAAAUAUCUAUCAAAAUACGUUCUUUGAUUUCUUUGAGCGAGGGUGGUGGCGUCAAAGUUAAAAAAAACAACAAACAAAUGUCAUGAGAGUGUAAAUUCUGUAACUUGAAUUAUCCUUAAAAUUAUUCAUUCUCUGCAUAAAAGAUGUGCAUGAAUUCACUUGCACUUUCGUGGUGAACAUCAUGAUUGACCAAUUGAUUGGUUAUAGUUUAUGUCCCUUAUAAGAUUAUUUCACACAAAACAACAUAUUUUCUGCAUUUCAUACAUGUAUUUUAGAAGCCAACAAAACAGGAAUAUACACCUUGGUAACUAAUUUAAAAUGAGUCUCGCUUGGGUUUUUGCACCCCUCACUCAUGGUUAAAUUUAAUCUUGUUUGAAUAUGAAAUUAUUCACCCCCCCCUGCAAUUGCAAUGUUGGUAGAGGCAUUGGGUAUUGAAGACUUUAAACCAAUGAUACAUGAUAACAUAAAAAUAUAUCAGUCAUCCAGAAAGCAUAUAGCACCUACUGCAAAACAUAUGUAAAUAUUUAAUUCUUAACACAAUUAUAGAAAUUUGAAUGUUGCUAUAGCUGUUAAUGAAUUAAAACCCUCAGAAAGGAAAUUAUGUCGUUCGCACGAGAUAAUAAGUCGUGCGAACGAGAAAAUAAGUCGUGCGAACAAGAUAAUUAUCUCGUGCUAAUGAGAUAUUAUGUCGUGCGAACGAGAUAAUAAGUCGUUCGAACGAGAUAUUAUCUCGUGCGAACGAGAUAAUAAGUCGUGCGAACGAGAUAAUAAGUCGUUCGAACGAGAUAAUAUAUCAUGCGAACGGGAUAAUAAGUCGUGCAAACGAGAUAAUAUUUUUCAACAUAAGAAGGAAAAAAUAUUUGCAUGUUCUAAAUAUACCACCGUAGAAUUCUUUUACCCUGUCGAUAAUCAAAUAAUGUUGGCGUCAAACUGUCCUGAAAUGUUCACCAAUGAGGAACCGGAGUCGGUUAUCUUAUCUUGUAUUGAUAGAGAGCGCCACAGGCAAAUCCGGCCCUGAACAAAAAAAAAAAAAAAAAAAAAAAAAAGAAGAAGAUAAAUGUUGAGAAGAUGGGUUAUCAGCAACCAUUCUCGAAUGCGAUUUUGGAAAACACAAACACUACCUUUUACUUACGAUGGCAUCCAGUUGUGGUCAUAUGACAAUACCUGAACUUAGGAAAGAGUUAGAAAAGUUUGGAGCAAAGAAAUUGGGAAGAAAGUGAUAACUUGUAAGAAGACUUAAUUGAAGCAUAUAGAAGAAAUGAACAUCGUGCAAGGACCGAUAUUUCUGGACCUGAAUUUAUUAUGAUGUCACCCGAUCCACAACUCUACAGGGACCUUCAUUGUGAUAAGAGCUUUUCAAAUUAAAAGGAAUGACACAUUUAUUGACGAGAUGAAGAGAAAUUUUAAUGAAUUUUAUGAAAGAUAUUUUAAGUCUGCUCUGUUAGAGAAAACGUUUUUCAAGACAUACGAUGGUAAAUGUACAUGGAAUAAAUGUUUAAAAAAUUAAAUAAA